rnacentral:rRNA from 1 species
CUUUGGUUCAUCUCAAAGGUGCAGCCUGCCCAAUGGUCUGUCCAUUCUUUCUUAUUACAGAGAAAAUAAACCAGACUCAAUGGCCGCGGUAACUCUGACCGUGAUAAUGUAGCGAAAUCAAUCGUCGUUUAAUUGACGACCCGUAUGAACGGUUUCACGCAUCUCCCCCUGUCUCGAAAAUAAAUUCAAAGAAAUUGUAUUUAUAGUGAAGAUCCUAUAAAAAGAUUGUUAGACGAAAAGACCCUAUAGAGCUUAACUACAUCCUAGUCAAGAAAAACGACAUUAUAGAUGUCCUUUUGGCAUGGGGGCUAGUUUGGUUGGGGCGACCGUCUUCUAAUAAAAACGAAGAUACACAAAGGCAAUGUAUUUAUAUGAGCUUAAUUGUUUAAGUCAUUACUUUAACAAAUACUAACGUAGGUAAAAAUGACCCGCUGAUAUCUAAACAUCGAAUCAACGAUCAAUAAAUAAAAGCUACCUUAGGGAUAACAGCGUAAUCUUGUUUAAGAGUUCUUAUCGACAACAAGGUUUGCGACCUCGAUGUGA